rnacentral:rRNA from 1 species
GAAUCCCGUGAACCAUCGAGUCUUUGAACGCAAGUUGCGCCCGAAGCCCUCGGGCCGAGGGCACGCCUGCCUGGGCGUCACGCAUCGCGUCGCCCCCCCCAGCCCGCCCGCUCCGGGCGGCGCGCGUGGGGGGUGCGGAGACUGGCCUCCCGUGCGCAACCGUCGCGCGGCCGGCCC